UAACAGUCAGGGUGACCACGGUUAAAACAAACAGGAAACAUCUGAAGAUGCAGGAUAGGAGUUGGUUCCGGGGCCUUGGGAACAUGAACUCGGUUUUGAUCCUGCCCGCAAGGUGGAAUUCGUUCCUGAAGAUGGCCGAACUCGGGAAACUUCCUCCGAACACCUCAGUGGCUGCUACCAAGAGCUGGCAUUUUGUCUGUCAGGGGAAGCCUUUUUCAUUAAACACCUUAAACGCCA
rnacentral:lncRNA from 1 species